GAUUUUUGGGGGAUUUUUUUGGGACUUUUUUGGGAUUUUUUGGGGGGAUUUGGGAUUUUUUGGGGAUUUUUUGGGGAUUUUUAGGGGAUUUUUUGCCAUUUUUGGGGAUUUUUUUUGGGAUUUGGAUUUUUGGGGAUUUUUGAGGAUUUUUGGGGGGAUUUGGGAUUUUUUGGGGGAUUUUUUUGGGAUUUUCAGGGGUUGUUUUUGGGCUUUGGGGCCCUUUUGGGAUUUCCCUUCCUGGCGCUGCUGGGAACCCUCCUGGGGAACCCCGGCCUCCGGCUCCACGUCCAGGAGGUGCCAAAUUCCCGGGAAAACCCCGGAAUUCCCAAAAAUCCGGGGAAAUUGGGAAAAUCUGGGAAUUCUGGGGGGGUUUUGUUGGGAUUUCGGGGUUUUAAAGUGGAUUUUAAGUGGAUUUUAAGGGAUUUUUAAGGAGGGAUUUGGGAUUUUUGGGAGGGAUUUUUUGGGAUUUGGGAUUUCUUUGGGAUUUUUUGGGUUUUUUGUUGGGAUUUGGGAUUUUUGGGAUUUUUUUUUAUUUUGGAGGGAUUUUUUGGGGAUUUUUUUGGGAUUUUUUGGCAUUUUGGGGGGAUUUUUAGGGGAUUUUUUGGCACUGUUGGGGGGUUUGGGAUUUUUUUGGGGUUUAGGAUUUUUGGGGGAUUUUUAGGGGAUUUUUUGGCAUUUUUGGGGGUUUUUUUGGGAUUUUUUUGCCAUUUUUGGGGAUUUUUUGGAUUUUUUGGGAGAUUUGGAUUUUUGGGGAUUUCUGGGGGGAUUUGGGAUUUUUGGGAUUUUUUUUGGAUUUUUGGGGGAUUUUUUUGGGACUUUUUUGGGAUUUUUUGGGGGGAUUUGGGAUUUUUUGGGGAUUUUUUGGGGAUUUUUAGGGGAUUUUUUGCCAUUUUUGGGGAUUUUUUUUGGGAUUUGGAUUUUUGGGGAUUUUUGAGGAUUUUUGGGGGGAUUUGGGAUUUUUUGGGGGAUUUUUUUGGGAUUUUCAGGGGUUGUUUUUGGGCUUUGGGGCCCUUUUGGGAUUUCCCUUCCUGGCGCUGCUGGGAACCCUCCUGGGGAACCCCGGCCUCCGGCUCCACGUCCAGGAGGUGAUCCAGGCCCGGCAGAAGGAGGCUCCGUUCCUGCUGCCCGAGGAGGCCUUCGGGGACAACCCCCGGUGAGAAUUCCCGGAAUUCCCGGAAUUUCCCCUUGGAAUUCCCAGAGAAUCCCCUGGAAAUCCAAAGGAAAACCCGGAUCAGGCUGGGAAUGGGAUGGGGUUGGGAAUCCGUGGAUCCCAUCCCGAGGAAUUCCGGGAUUCCGGGAGGCUCCGGAUCCAUCCCGGGGGAUUUUUAUGGAAUCUGGGAAAGGAAAUCCAGGGAUUUUCUGGGAUUUGGGGUUUUUUUUUUGGGAUAACCCAGAAAUUCCUUCCCAAAUCCCAAAUCCCUCCCCGUUUUCCCAGGGAAUUCCCUCCAUUCCC
rnacentral:lncRNA from 1 species